rnacentral:rRNA from 1 species
AGCAGCCGCGGUAAUUCCAGCUCCAAUAGCGUAUAUUAAAGUUGUUGCAGUUAAAAAGCUCGUAGUUGAAUUUCGGGAUCAAUAUGUUGGUCGUGCCUUGGUACGUACUGGCAUUAUUGGUUUCUACCUUCUGAAGAACCUCGAUGUCAUUAAUUUGGUGUCUUGGGGAAUCAGGACUGUUACUUUGAAAAAAUUAGAGUGUUUAAAGCAGGCUCGCGCUUGAAUACAUUAGCAUGGAAUAAUGAAAUAGGACGUUUGAUUCUAUUUUGUUGGUUUCUAGGAUCGACGUAAUGAUUAAUAGGGAUAGUUGGGGCGAUUAGUAUUCAAUUGUCAGAGGUGAAAUUCUUGGAUUUAUUGAAGACUAACUACUGCGAAAGCAUUUGCCAAGGAUGUUUUCAUUAAUCAAGAACGAAAGUUAGGGGAUCGAAGACGAUCAGAUACUGUCGUAGUCCUAACCAUAAACUAUGCCGACUAGGGAUCGGAUGAUGUUAAUUUUUUCAAUGACUCAUUCGGCGCCUUA